GACGAACGCUGGCGGCGUGCUUAACACAUGCAAGUCGAGCGGGGACAGAUACUUCGGUAAAUGUUCUAGCGGCGGACGGGUGAGUAACGCGUGAGCAACCUUUCCCUCAGUGGGGAAUAACACAGGGAAACUUGUACUAAUACCGCAUGAGACCACAGAGCUGCAUGGCUUAGGGGUCAAAGAUUUAUCGCUGAGAGGUGGGCUCGCGUCUGAUUAGGUAGUUGGUGAGGUAACGGCCCACCAAGCCGACGAUCAGUAGCCGACCUGAGAGGGCGAUCGGCCACAUUGGGACUGAGACACGGCCCAA
rnacentral:rRNA from 1 species